CAUGAAGAUGGGGAUCUAAGCAAAUACAGUGUUCUAGCACCUCUAAUGAUGGAAACAGAAAAUGCCAGAAGUUCACAAUUAUUAUUCAGCAAACAGUAGAGCAAAUUGACAUCAGAUUCAGAUUUUUGAACUGGGAUGUGGCUACAAUGGUGAAUGAGAUACUGUAUAUUUAAAAAUCUUGUAGCUCUAUGGUAUAUUUAAUGACAAAAAUUAUGAGCGAAAAAUGAUAACAUCAUUUUUAUGUGACUCAUAUGCAAAAUGAAAUACGUUCAUCUAUGAGGUCAGCUGAUGGGAAAUAAAAUCAGAUAUUUUACUUCUAACUCCAUCAAGCAAAAGAAAAAUCAGUUGUGAUUCCAAGAAGAGAUGAACUCUUUAAUAUUGGAUCCAUGAUGGUUAGGAUCUGGUAUGUUCCUUUCAUCACUUGAAUCCAUUUCCUACAACUGUGUAAGGCCAUGGAUCAAUUUCUUUACCUUUAAAAUGAUGGAGUAGACUGGAUGGCUAAUGUUUCUUGCAGCACUAAUGGUCACUGAUGGCAUGCGUGUUUCAAGGGUUUGUAUGAAAACAAAGCAAUAUUUUUACAGGAAACUUUGCUUAUGUAACAGAUUGCAUUUGACAGAUCUUUUUUUUUUAUUCUGAAACUUUAAUCCAAGAUGAAAUUAUUUAUGUGUUAGUUAUAUGUGCUUUCAUUAAUGUCUGCCUUUUAUUCCUGAUUAAACAAGGUUAUUUUGGUUUGAAAAAUCCAUUUUUUGUCAUUUAGAUACCCAAAUAGGAUUUAAAAAAAAAAAAAAAAGAUUCUUACAGCUUACAGUGAGGAUUCUCUUAAAAACUUUUUAAUGUUUUAAAUGGUGAAUUUCUAGAAAAUUCUGGAAAUACAGAUAGAUCUAUUUGAGGAGAAAAGAGAGAGCUGAGAGAUAUCUAGUUGUUUCCAGAUUUUAUAAUGCUAUGAGCAUCUUGAAUAAGUGGACAUUAAGAAAUCUUCGUCUGUUUUUUAUUUUGUAUGGUAAAUAUAAAUUUAAUAUCAUACUAAAGUCUUUUGAGUGGGUUUGCUAGCUGAUCAUAA